CCUGCAGAGGACGUAGGAGGAGUGACGGGGGAGUGGGGCUGGACCUGGACGGUGGGGCAGCGGCGGAGAACAAAUCAAUAAACAUAAGGUCUACACAGGCAAGCUAAGGAAAAACAAACACACCCAUUCACCAGCAUGCACACCAACAGAAACGAGACAAAAAUAAACUCAAUCUAAUAGCAGCUCUACACAGGCAAGCUAAGGAAAAUACAUGGCUGCAAAAAUUCAAGCCUAGCCUAAAAGCAGAGAAGGGGAAAAGAAAAGAGGUCGAC